rnacentral:lncRNA from 1 species
CACUUUUAUGCAGAAUUUUUAAUUUUUUUUUUAUGUGCGGUGGAGUUGUUUUAAAAUUGACUUAAGUUUAGGUCUUUUUUUUACAAUGGUGUAGUUUGCUGUAAUAUGAAAUAAUGUUAUAUGAUCAGUCAAAACAAAGUUUUUCAGAACCAGACUGCAAGAGAGUUUAUUUCAUAAACUCCCUCAAUUCCCUUUUGCAGGCAUCAGAAAUUCAGAUACUUGGUUGUUUAAUUUACCAUGGCCUCAUUUGUUUCCCUGUGAAUUUAACACAGGACACAAGUGAUUGAAUUGCAGAUACUGAUGCAGACCCUGCCUAAGGAUGAUCAGAAAAAUAUCUAUUGUUAACCUUCAGGGUAAGUUUCAGAGUUAGUUCUUGAAUGCAUUUACAGUUAAAAUACAAAUGCCAAACAUCCUGCACAAACAUUUUCUUUGUAUUUAGGUGUGUCAUUCGCAGCUUCUAUAUGUUGAGCUCGCAUCUGUAAGAAGGGAUGCCUUUCCAAAUAACAGAAAGCUUGACUUUUUCUGUCACUGGUAGAAGUUUUAAUUAUUUUUUGCAACACCACUGAACAAAGUGAAAACACUGUCUUAUGUGAAGAGGAGAAAAAACAGCCAUGACCUCCUUUAGAUUUGUCCCUGAUAGUGCUGUAUUCAAUCAUGCCCCUCAGAACAGCUGCUUCCCUUGCCACUCCACCUGCCCCCACUGUAAGUUAAAAUUAUUGAUCUAAGAGGAAGAAAUACUUGUUUUGAUAUUAUAAUUAGGCACUAUCUUGAAGAGAAAAUGGAUAGAUAAUACCUUAAUAAUUAGAGCAGGAGCAUUCUGUGUAAUGACAAGAUGAGUUUUACUUUAAUUGUAGGUAAAUUCAUUAAGCAGUAAUGAAAUGCAGUGACUAGUAGUUUCUAGGCACUCUGCUGUGUUAUUAGAUCACUCAAUUUGUUUUCUUUAAAGGUGAAUCACAUUUCUUUAAGCAGACCAAUAAGCUAAGACAGGCAGCUCAGCCUAGUCUUUUUGUCUCCAGAGUGAUUUUUACAGCUGUGUAUAGAAAUGUGAGAAGGCAGUACUAAAUAGAAAUGUCCUGCAAGGGAUUUCCUUUCCAUGCAAAGACUUCCUUCAUUGAAGAGGGAGAAGAAAGACUUGACAAACUAGGGCCAAAGGAAAAAAUGAACUAAUACUGUCAAACAAUGCAUACUCUUUAGAAAAAAAAGAACCUGUAGUUCUUUUAUCUACUGUAUUUUUUAGAUUUCAGUAUUUGCCAAGAGAUUAAGAUAGCAUCUUCAGCCUAAAGUGAU